ACCCUUGUGGCACAAGGAAUUCUGUGCGGACUUAAAAUCCGCCGGGGGCAACCCCAUGCCGGUUCGAUUCCGGCUCCGGGCA
rnacentral:tRNA from 1 species